UACGAAGGGUGCAAGCGUUACUCGGAAUUACUGGGCGUAAAGCGUGCGUAGGUGGUUCGUUAAGUCUGAUGUGAAAGCCCUGGGCUCAACCUGGGAAUGGCAUUGGAAACUGGCGAUCUAGAGUGCGGUAGAGGGUAGUGGAAUUCCCGGUGUAGCAGUGAAAUGCGUAGAGAUCGGGAGGAACAUCUGUGGCGAAGGCGACUGCCUGGACCAGCACUGACACUGAGGCACGAAAGCGUGGGGAGCAAACAGGG
rnacentral:rRNA from 1 species